rnacentral:rRNA from 1 species
GGAGUUAGCCGGUGCUUCUUCUGUGAGUGAUGUCCUUCCUGCCGGCUAUUAACCCGCAGGCCUUCUUCCUCACUGAAAGUGCUUUACAACCCGAAGGCCUUCUUCACACACGCGGCAUGGCUGGAUCAGGGUUGCCCCCAUUGUCCAAUAUUCCCCACUGCUGCCUCCCGUAGGAGUCUGGGCCGUGUCUCAGUCCCAGUGUGGCUGAUCAUCCUCUCAGACCAGCUACGGAUCGUCGCCUUGGUGAGCCGUUACCUCACCAACCAGCUAAUCCGACAUAGGCUCAUCCGAUAGCGCGAGGCCCGAAGGUCCCCCGNUUUCCCCCGUAGGGCGUAUGCGGUAUUAGCCUGGGUUUCCCCCAGGUUAUCCCCCACUACCCGGGCAGAUUCCUAUGCAUUACUCACCCGUCCGCCGCUCGCCACCAGGGAGCAAGCUCCCCGUGCUGCCGCUCGACUUGCAUGUGUUAGGCCUGCCGCCACGCGUCAUCUGAGCGAGAUACAACUACUGA